UUAAAAGCGAUGAAGAGGAGUAGUAGGCCCUCCUUUCGUUCCAGAGAGCCGGCGGUUGCUGUGAGCCGGUACGAAAGUGGUUGAACUCGCCUCGGAGCUGCCCGGAUGAACCCGCUCUGCGGCUAGUCCGUGCCGAGCGCCCGCGUCAAGGGCCAAUGAGGGUUCGGUUUUUACCGAACUGAAACAGGGUGGUACCGCGAAGCAUAAAGCUCUCGCCCCUGAC
rnacentral:ncRNA from 1 species